ensembl:snRNA U6 U6 spliceosomal RNA
UGCUCGCUUUGGUAGCACUAUACUAAAAUUGGAACGAUACAGGGAAGAUUAGCAUGGGCCCUAUGCAAGAAUGACACACAAAUUUGUGAAGCGUUCCAUAUUUUU